UGGGGAAUUUUGGACAAUGGGCGAAAGCCUGAUCCAGCAAUGCCGCGUGUGUGAAGAAGGCCUUCGAGUUGUAAAGCACUUUUGUCCGGAAAGAAAUCCUUGGCUCUAAUACAGUCGGGGGAUGACGGUACCGGAAGAAUAAGCACCGGCUAACUACGUGCCAGCAGCCGCGGUAAUACGUAGGGUGCAAGCGUUAAUCGGAAUUACUGGGCGUAAAGCGUGCGCAGGCGGUUUGCUAAGACCGAUGUGAAAUCCCCGGGCUCAACCUGGGAACUGCAUUGGUGACUGGCAGGCUAGAGUAUGGCAGAGGGGGGUAGAAUUCCACGUGUAGCAGUGAAAUGCGUAGAGAUGUGGAGGAAUACCGAUGGCGAAGGCAGCCCCCUGGGCCAAUACUGACGCUCAUGCACGAAAGCGUGGGGAGCAAACAGGAUUAGAUACCCCUGGUAGUCCACGCCCUAAACGAUGUCAACUAGUUGUUGGGGGAUUCAUUUUCCUUAGUAACGUAGCUAACGCGUGAAGUUUGGACCGCCUGGGGAGUACGGUCGCAAAA
rnacentral:rRNA from 1 species